CGGGCGCAGGCUGCGGUGCGUUUACGCAGCGCUUGGUUCGCGUCGCUCUGUCGGAAAUGACAGAUGGGUACAGCGUUCGAGGGUCGGUAUGAGAAGUUGCUCUUUGUCUUAAGCGUUCCACAGAAGGCGUUUGUUGGGGCUUUGUAUCCGUUUUCGAGCCUGGCUGCGUCCUCGCCGUAGCUUCGCCUCUGCGAGCGGCGGGCGCAUUCCCGGGAGGCGGGGACCUCCCGGGUCUGCUUUUGCGGGCUACUUGGGCGACCCAAGUGAGUCCCGUCGCGGUGAUCCACUUCUGAGACGUGACCUGUUUUUUUCCGUUUGCUUUAAGAAGCUCCCAGUCGCGUUCCAACGUUUCACUGGAGUCGGUCAUGGUCCAGGAGUCAGAGCCCGCGUGGGAGAAGAAGGUCUCGGUCCAGAAGGCGCCACCAGAGAAAGUACGGACUCCAAUCGCAGUCUUCCUCGCGGAGCGGGUCGCGAUCCUUCAGGAGGUGCGGCUUUCAGGGAAGGUCGUAUUACAGAAGGACCUUCUCGAUCACGCGGGGUGACAGUACUAGGGCUUUGACCUUGUGGUGUACCCGAAAGAACACAGCAUUUGGAGGGAGAGAUCCAGGAAGAGGUCGCAGAGCAGAACCCCGAUUCGCAUAAAAUGAAUGGAGCUAUUAGAAAUAACAAAAGUCCGUGCAGUUGAAUCAUUAGGAACAGCCAACCUUGACUUGCCAGCUAGUCUCAGAAGUGUCUCUGUAGCUAAAGAAAGAAACCGUGGAACAGCUGUACCAAAUACUGCAAAGUUCAAAAGUUCAGAUCAUGAAAAUGAGAGUGAGUUCCAUACCAACGCCAGCAUGACCCAGAUGAUACCAAGAAAGAAGACUAAACGGCUUCGUUAUUUUAAUGAUAGAUGGAAGGACACUUACAACUGCAUUAGGGAGAACUGCUUGAUGAUCUUUGAAGAGGUGAUAAGGAACCCAGAAAAGGAUAAACUGUCUGCACCUGAGUUAUUUGAUAUUACGUUUUCUUGUGUCAUAAGUGGGAUCUGAAGACUAUUUGCUGACAAGCCCUGAGGCCGGUGAGUAACUAGGUGUCUGUACCUACUAAGGCCACUGUGCUCACUGCUGUCUCACCAACUACGGAGUUCUAGGGUAAAGACCUGCUUACUACAGCUAUUUACUAUUUAUGAUAGCCAAGACAACCUAUCCAUCAAUGGAAGCAAGCUAGCCAUCGACAGAUGAAUGGAUAAAGAAGAUGUGGAUCCCAUCCAGGACACCAUGUUACAUUCAUGUCUCCUGAGGCUCCUCUUGACUGUGACAGUUUCUCAGACUCUCCUUGUUUCUGACGCACAGAUGUGAGGAGUACUGGUCAGGAAUAUUGUAGGUGUUGGUUAUUUUUUGUAUGUAGCAUUUCAUAAUAAAAAAUUACUAAUCGGGGACUUCCAUGGUGGUUCAGUGGUUAAGACUCUGUGCUUCCACUGCAGGGGACACAAGUUCAAUCCCUAGUGGGGGAACUAAGAUCCUGCACGCCAUGGGGCGUGGCCAAAAAGAAAAAAAAUUACUAAUCAAUUGUGGUAACAAUACCUGUUGGGCCUACCUGAAAACACACACACACACGCACACCCCACCUCUAGAUGCUAUCGAUUUAGUGCAAGCCAGCAUCAUUUCUCACUCUAAUCACUGCAAUUGUCUCACUGCUCCUUAUUUCUCCACACUCUUUUCUCCCCCAUCUUUUCUCCACACAGCAGCCAGAGAGGCUUUAAAAUAUAAAUCAGCUUCUAUUUCUUCUGUUCUCCAAAUGCUUCAGUGGCUCCUUUUCUCGUAGACUAAAAUAUGCUACAAGAUCCUUCAUGCUCUCAUCACUUAUCACUCUCCCCCGGCUCACUCUGCUCUGUCACAUUAGCUUCCUUGCAGAUCCUGAAACACACCGCACUCCUGCCCUAGAAUCUUUGCACCCGUCUUUUACCUGGAACAUUCAUCCUCUGCACAGCCAAGGGCUCACUCCUUUGCUCCUUUCUAGUCUCUGCUCAGUUGUCACCUCUUAAGAGAGGCCUUCCCUCACACCCUAUCUUGCCUAGCAGCGCCACCCCCCCACAAGUUGUCCUCUUUCUCCUUAGCUUUUUUAAAAUUUCAAAAUAUUUAUCACCACCUAACAUUACAUUCUGCAUCUUUAUUUGUUUGUUGUCUGUCUCUACCAUUGGAAAAUAAGUUUCAUGAAGCCAAGCACUUAAUACAAUUUGUUUAUUGCUGUAUCUUAGGCUCAAAAUCAACACAAUAAAUAUUGGUUAAAGUAAUUAAUGAAUAAAA